GGGGUCCUACGGGGGGCAGCAGUGGGGAAUAUUGCACAGUGGGGGGAACCCUGAUGCAGCGACGCCGCGUGAAGGAAGAAGUAUUUCGGUAUGUAAACUUCUAUCAGCAGGGAAGAAAAAGGACGGUACCUGACUAAGAAGCCCCGGCUAACUACGUGCCAGCAGCCGCGGUAAUACGUAGGGGGCGAGCGUUAUCCGGAUUUCCUGGGUGUAAAGGGGGCGCAGACGGCCAUGGCAAGCCCGAUGUGAAAGGGGCGGGCCCACCCCGC
rnacentral:rRNA from 1 species